GAACGCCGCGCGGCGGAGGCCAUUAAGGCGUGGACGGCCCGGAAGGCGGCCUAGGGACGCAAGCAGGCUUGGCCGCCUCUUUCGGCCACGGAGCCGCGCAGAUCCGGUUCCCGGGUGACCACUCUGUCGCCAUUGGGCGAGACCUACCUAGUCCUGACGACAACGGACAAAGGCCUUAAGGGGCCUGAAAGCAACCUCCAGUCCUGCAAGCUUCAUUCCUGAAUGGUAGAAAGCAGUCUUCAGCCUGAGACCCAUCCCUAGACUCUAUGGCACAAAGAGGCACUACAGAAAAUCCCAGAAUUUAUUCUGACUGAAGCAAUAUGCAACUGGCAAAACUGGCAGCUGAAAGGAUCCUGAAUAAGAAGAACUCCUCAAUUUGAAUCCAGGCUCUAUGCCAGGUAUUGGAAUACAAUAAGGAGCAAGACAGAAGAAUUUACCCGGUAGCAGGGUAGGAAGAUGACCAUCUUUGCAUCAGAAUAACUGUAUAGUAGUGUAGACAGGAAGUAAAAUGCAAGUAUAUCUUAAAAGAAAACAACAGUAUCUCUGUGAUUGAUACAUGAAGUGGCCAUCUCAAUAUGAUCAAUUAUGUUUGGAAAGAGAAAUUCCCUCAAACAUAUAAGAAUGGACUUUUAGUCUCACCUCCCUUAUUCCAGUCUUUGUGUAAUCUUGAAAGUGACACAGCCUUUUGUGGUAUUUUUCUGGGUUGUAAAAUGUGAAAAAAGAUUAUUCGCAUCUCAAAAUUACUAUCAGGAUUAAAUGAAAGAAUUUGCAUAAG
ensembl:lncRNA LINC02228 long intergenic non-protein coding RNA 2228